ACGACUGUAGCUUAAAGGAAAAAGCAUUUGGUUACGAACCAAAUUAAAGCGGGUUCGAAUCCUGUCAGUCGUU
rfam:Candidatus Nasuia deltocephalinicola str. NAS-ALF, complete genome.